CUUGACUGCAGCUGAUUUUGCUGUCUCACUCCCUGCAAUGGGGUGCCAAGCAUUCCACAGUGACACAGCAGUUUUUCCCCUGUCCCUCCAUUUCCCUUGGCUGCCCCAACUCCCCCAAAGCCACGGGGCUGCAGAUUUUCAGCGAUGCAGGUUAGAGUUUUGGCCCACCCCAAGUCCCUGAAUAGGCAAUGAAGAGAGAGGGACUCCUGGCUGGAAUCUGCAAAAGUGAUGCCCUCCUGCUCCUCUAUGGUGGGAAAUGAUGAAUGGGACCUAUUUUCUUUGGUGCCAUUCAUUAUUUUGUACACCUUCAUCUUUUCCCUUCUCUGAAGUGAAAAGGUGAGAGGUGUGUCCCUCCAUUAUUGCUAAGGAAAUGAGGAGUAUUUUGCACCAAAAAGUAUUUAUUGCGCAUCUCUGCCUGAAGUACGUGGAGCCUGUGCAAUAUGUUUGAUAUCUGAUGUUUGCCAAGAGAUGGAGCUGCAGAGCCAGGCUACCUACCAAGCCUGACCCCGUAAAUCAGGAACGAUAGAAUAAAACCCUUGGCAGCAAAAGCCUGUAGCCUCAUACUGAUGCCUGCUACUCUUCCCAAGUGACAACGAGGCUUGUGUUGGGCACUUAGCCAACUCUGUCCAAUCUAUUCCAGUUUAUUUCAUUAAGCCAUGGCUCAGAAAAGCCAAGAAACAAGCCAUAUUAAUCUUGAUGGAUCCUGGCCUCUGCUCAGAUAAUGUUAUAGAAAAUGCUCAGCAGCCCCAGAGUUGAGCUGUAAUAGGAUGAAAACAGCUGCUCUCUCGGACUUGCCUUAAAACUUCUGUUCCCUACAUAUACUCCUGUGAAAUGCAGUUCCACUGCACAGUUGUUACUCAGCUGGUAAUUUUCUCGGUUACUUUCACAAUUUAGGCAUUGCUCUAAACCUUGUCUCAGUUUUUAGGCACCUGUAGUAUGAGACAGAAGAUAGCAAAGGAAUUCCCAAACUGCCAGAGACCUGAGUUUGUCAAUCUGUGAAGUGUCCCUCUCCAUAUGGAUUUACAGGCUUAGCUCUGGAAGCCGUAAACCUGUGUUAGUACAGAGUAAAGCCAAGUAUUUUUGGAGCGGAGCUUGGGUUCAACCCUGGGUUAAUGCAGUGAUCUGGCAUCUCUGAGCCAGCUCCCAUCCACACCAUGCUCCUGUCCUUCCUAUCCCAGCACUCUGCCAAGUGGAACAAGUCCAGGUUUGUCUGUACCUGCCUGUAGUAUCCCAGGAUUGCCUGGAGCUACUUCGGGCUUAGGUACAUCAUGGGGAGUCUGCUGAGCUAAUCAGUCCUCUCCAAGCCCCAGGGGAUUCUCAGAGUAGGCAUUCCUGCAAACCAAGUCACUCCAGUUUCUGGGUCUUCCCACAGCAGUUGGGCCUGGGUCUGCCACAUCAGUUCUCAUGCAAAAAAAAAGAGCCAUGAAAGGGCAAGAACGGACUUACCCAAGUACCCUCUUGCACCUGUGAGCAGUCAGGGCAUUUUGUUGUUUUAAAAUCUGUGUUCUGCUUCAUUUGCUUAAUUCAAAAUCCUUGUGCCUACUGAUUCAUUAGGUAAGAACCAGUAGAUUAAUAUGGGAUAAAUUCUGCCUCAGUUGUGCUCCCAAAUGAGGGAGGAAGGGAGAGAGGGAA